rnacentral:rRNA from 1 species
GAUGAACGUUGGCGGCGUGCCUAAUACAUGCAAGUCGAACGAAGACUGUAGUAAUACUGUCUUAGUGGCGAACGGGUGAGUAACGCGUGGGUGACCUGCCCCGAAGUGUGGGAUAACAGUCCGAAAGGAUUGCUAAUACUGCAUAAUAUCCAAGAGAUUAGACGCUUUCGGAUUAAAGGAGUAAUUCGCUUCGGGAGGGGCCCGCGUCCCAUCAGCUAGUUGGUAAGGUAAUGGCUUACCAAGGCGAUGACGGGUAGGGGACCUGAGAGGGUGGCCCCCCACAAUGGAACUGAAACACGGUCCAUACACCUACGGGUGGCAGCAGUAGGGAAUAUUAGUAAUGGGCGAAAGCCUGAACUAGCAACGCCGCGUGUGCGAAGAAGGCCUUCGGGUCGUAAAGCACUUUUUGAGAGGAUGAGGAAGGACGGUACCCUCAGAAUAAGUCUCGGCUAACUACGUGUCAGCAGCCGCGGUAAACACGAGAGUA